UACGUAGGUGGCAAGCGUUAUCCGGAUUUAUUGGGUUUAAAGGGUGCGCAGGUUGUUUGAUAAGUCAGUGGUGAAAGUCUGUCGCUUAACGGUAGGAUUGCCAUUGAUACUGUUAGACUUGAAUAUGGAUGAGGUAGGCGGAAUGUGUAGUGUAGCGGUGAAAUGCAUAGAUAUUACACAGAACACCGAUUGCGAAGGCAGCUUACUAAUCCAUCAUUGACGCUGAUGGACGAAAGCGUGGGGAGGCGAACAGGA
rnacentral:rRNA from 1 species